UUGCAAAUAAUAGUUAAAUUAUUUUUAUCGUUCUGAAUACAAUAUUUUUUUAUAAUCGAUAAUCGAAAAAUAAUCGAUAUAGUGUAACAAUAGUGUACAUAUCUAUCGAUUAUGUAUAUGUAUGUCUUCUGUAUUUGUAUUGUGGUUGUGACAUAUUGAUCCUCGGUACCGACUACGGCGAUCCUCUAUUUAUCGGUUCUGUGUUAGCUUUCACGGCCCAGUUUGUGCGAAUAUAUUUUCAUUUGUUCUGUAGUUUGUCUUUCUGACUGACAUUUUUUUUUCUACAUAUUUCAGAAUGAUACGAACAAUGAUGUUUAUGUGGAAUCAAAGAAAAAUAGAAAAAUAAACUUUCACAAAUGAACUGGUUAUGAUAACCUAAUUUUAAAAUCGUUUAUUUGUUCCGGAUUUAUAUCUUCAUUUUCUUACGAAACUAUUGAUCGAAGUUUGUUGAAUUUUAAUCGAAACUUGAAGCUUUUGAGUUUUUUUAAAAGUUAUACUUUAGAUAAGGAUCUCAGUUUUAAUAGUCUGUACAUUAAAAUUAAAAAAAUAAAAUCUACAAGUUAACAGAA